rnacentral:rRNA from 1 species
GACCUCAAAUCGGGUGGGACUACCCGCUGAACUUAAGCAUAUCAAUAAGCGGAGGAAAAGAAACUAACAAGGAUUCCCCUAGUAACGGCGAGUGAAGAGGGAAAAGCUCAAAUUUUGAAUCUGGUGUCUUUGACUCCCGAGUUGUAAUCUAGAGAAGUGUUUUCCGUGUCGGACCGUGCACAAGUUCCCUGGAACGGGGCGUCAUAGAGGGUGAGAAUCCCGUAUAUGGCACGCACUGCCGAUGCUCUGUGAUACACUCUCAACGAGUCGAGUUGUUUGGGAAUGCAGCUCAAAAUGGGUGGUAAAUUCCAUCUAAAGCUAAAUAUUGGCGAGAGACCGAUAGCGAACAAGUACCGUGAGGGAAAGAUGAAAAGCACUUUGGAAAGAGAGUGAAACAGUACGUGAAAUUGUUGAAAGGGAAGCGU